rnacentral:rRNA from 1 species
GAUGAACGCUAGCGGCAGGCCUAAUACAUGCAAGUCGGACGGUGUCUUCGGACAUAGUGGCGCACGGGUGCGUAACACGUAUGCAACCUACCUUACAUUGGGGGAUAGCCUUUCGAAAGGGAGAUUAAUACCGCAUAAGACAGUAGCUGGGCAUCCAGCAGCUGUUAAAGAUUUAUCGAUGUAAGCUGGGCAUGCGUCCAAUUAGCUAGUUGGUGAGGUAACGGCUCACCAAGGCAAUGAUUGGUAGGGGAACUGAGAGGUCAAUCCCCCACACUGGCACUGAGAGACGGGCCAGACUCUGACGGGAGGCAGCAGUAGGGAAUAUUGGGCAAUGGACGCAAGUAUGACCCAGCCAUGCCGCGGGCAGGAUGAAGGCGUUAUGCGUUGUAAACUGCUUUUAUACAGGAAGAAACGACUCUUGCGAGAGGCAUUGACGGUACUGAAUGAAUAAGCACCGGCUAACUCCGUGCCAGCAGCCGCCGCGGUAA